rnacentral:rRNA from 1 species
AUUGAACGCUGGCGGUAGGCCUAACACAUGCAAGUCGAACGAGUGGCGGACGGGUGAGUAAUGUCUGGGAAACUGCCUGAUGGAGGGGGAUAACUACUGGAAACGGUAGCUAAUACCGCAUACCAUAAGAUUUGCCCAGAUGUGAUGAGCUAGUUGGUGGGGUAACGGCUCACCACGGCGACGAUCCCUAGCUGGUCGGAGAGUAGGACCAGUCACCCGGGAACUGAGACACGGUCCAGAGCCCUACGGGAGGCAGCAGGGGGGAAUAUUGCACAAUGGGCGCAAGCCUGAUGCAGCCAGGCCGCGUGUAGGAAGAAGGCCUUCGGGUUGUAAAGUACUAUCAGCGGGGAGGCGUUACCCGCAGAAGAAGCACCGGCUAACUCCGUGCCAGCAGCCGCGGUAAUAC